UACGUAGGGGGCGAGCGUUGUCCGGAUUUAUUGGGCGUAAAGAGCGUGUAGGCGGUUCGGUAAGUCUGCCGUGAAAACCUGAGGCUCAACCUCGGGCGUGCGGUGGAUACUGCCGGGCUAGAGGACGGUAGAGGCGAGUGGAAUUCCCGGUGUAGCGGUGAAAUGCGCAGAUAUCGGGAAGAACACCAACGGCGAAAGCACUCUGCUGGGCCGACACUGACACUGAGAGACGAAAGCUAGGGGAGCAAAUGGG
rnacentral:rRNA from 1 species